rnacentral:rRNA from 1 species
GAUGAACGCUGGCGGCGUGCCUAAUACAUGCCAGUCGAGCGAACGGACGAGAAGCUUGUUUCUCUGAUGUUAGCGGCGGACGGGUGAGUAACACGUGGAUAACCUACCUAUAAGACUGGGAUAACUUCGGGAAACCGGAGCUAAUACCGGAUAAUAUUUUGAACCGCAUGGUUCAAAAGUGAAAGACGGUCUUGCUGUCACUUAUAGAUGGAUCCGCGCUGCAUUAGCUAGUUGGUAAGGUAACGGCUUACCAAGGCAACGAUGCAUAGCCGACCUGAGAGGGUGAUCGGCCACACUGGAACUGAGACACGGUCCAGACUCCUACGGGAGGCAGCAGUAGGGAAUCUUCCGCAAUGGGCGAAAGCCUGACGGAGCACCGCCGCGUGAGUGAUGAAGGUCUUCGGAUCGUAAAACUCUGUUAUUAGGGAAGAACAUAUGUGUAAGUAACUGUGCACAUCUUGACGGUACCUAAUCAGAAAGCCACGGCUAACUACGUG